GAGCUCCCAUGGCGCCUGUUUAUCAAAAACAUUUCUAAUUGCUUCAUAAUUAGUAAGGCCUGCUCAAUGAAAAUUAAAUAGCCGCAGUAACCUGUGCUAAGGUAGCACAAUCAUUUGCCUUUUAAUUGAAGGCUAGCAUGAAAGGUUUUACAUGUAAAAUACUUUAUUAUUCAAGCUGCUUGAAAUUUACCUGCAAAUAAAAAGGUUUGCAUUUUAAUGAGGGACGACAAGACCCUAUCGAACUUAACUUAAAGUUUUACUGGGGCGGUAAAAAAACAAAAUCUUUCUUUUUUAUCUGAAAUUACCAUAUCCUAUUUAUUAUAUUAAACUAGUUACCGUAGGGAUAACAGCAUAAUUUUUUUUAAGAGACCUUAUCAUAAAAAAAGAUUGUGACCUCGAUGUUGAAUUAAAUUCCUCUUAAGUGAAAAAGCUUAAAAAGAAAGUCUGUUCGACUUUUAAUUAUUUACGUGAUCUGAGUUCAGACCGGCCAUGGGAGCUC
rnacentral:rRNA from 1 species